UAUAAGUUUUAUUUAUAAGACUGGAACAGACAAGAAUAUUAGUUUGAGGUUUUUUCCAAUUUAAAUUAAUAAAACAGGGAGAAUGACACAGAAGCUGCUAUUUACAAAAGACAAGUAUGACUAACGAAGGUCAGUUUUUAUUCUGAAAUAGGAAUAAUGACCUAUGCAAAGCGAUCAUUUUAUAAACAUUGAUCUAAAUGUUUGAUACUUGUGGACUUUUUUUUCUUAGGGAAAAAAAGAUUGACAUCAACUCUUUGGCAUCAUCUUUUAAAAUCAUUUCUUCUGGGAUUGUUAUCCAUCAGAGUGCUUAUAUAUGUCUAGGAUAGAUGUCUACGAAUGCAUUCUGAGGCCAGGAGCAGCGGCUCAUGCCUAUCCAGGAGCGGUGGCUCAUGCCUAUAAUCACAG